UGGGGAAUAUUGGACAAUGGGCGAAAGCCUGAUCCAGCAACGCCGCGUGAGUGAUGAAGGCCUUCGGGUUGUAAAGCUCUGUCGGUUAGAACGAAUAAGGGACACCUAACACGUGUCCCGACGACGGUACUAGCAAAGGAAGCACCGGCUAACUCUGUGCCAGCAGCCGCGGUAAGACAGAGGGUGCAAGCGUUGUUCGGAAUUACUGGGCGUAAAGCGUGUCUAGGCGGAACUGUAAGUCAGGUGUGAAAGACCUUGGCUCAACCAAGGAAUUGCGCCAGAAACUGCUUUUCUGGAACUGUGGAGAGGUGGGUAGAAUACCUAGUGUAGCAGUGAAAUGCGUAGAUAUUAGGUAGAACACCAGAGGCGAAGGCGGCUCACUGGCCACAUGUUGACGCUGAAGCACGAAAGCGUGGGGAGCAAACAGGAUUAGAUACCCCAGUAGUCCCUGAGCGGGCUGGCAAGGCGCAU
rnacentral:rRNA from 1 species